CGGCGCGUGGGCGCGCGGAGGUAGAGAUUGGGAGCGAGCGCGCAGGCGCUUUCCGGAGGCCCCCUGCGGACGCGAAUCCCAGCGUCCGGCCGCCGCGGGCUACUUCACAGACAUUAUCAAUUUCUGACUGUUUGGAAGUGAAGCACCACUUAAAAUUGCUCCAACUCCUGAUUCCAAAGAAGUGGUAACUUUUUUCUGAUCAAGAAAAUAAGUGACUGACUCUGUAUUAUAAAUAUUCUGGAACUGGUUCUGUUUUCCUCCCUGAAUUUGGAGAACUAUGGAACAGUGGUCCUGGAUGACAGUAGUAGUCUUAAUAGGACUAACAGUACGAUGGACAGUUUCUCUUAAUUCUUAUUCAGGUGCUGGAAAACCCCCUAUGUUUGGUGAUUAUGAAGCUCAGAGACACUGGCAAGAAAUUACUUUUAAUUUACCGAUAAAACAAUGGUAUUUUAACAGCAGUGAUAACAAUUUACUGUAUUGGGGAUUGGAUUACCCACCUCUCACAGCUUAUCAUAGUCUCUUAUGUGCAUAUGUGGCAAAGCUUAUAAAUCCAGACUGGAUUGCUCUUCACACAUCACGUGGAUAUGAGAGUCAGGCACAUAAGCUCUUCAUGCGUACAACAGUUUUUAUUGCUGAUUUGCUGAUUUAUAUACCUGCAGUGAUUCUGUACUGUUGUUGUUUAAAAGCUAUCUCAACUAAGAAAAAGAUUGCUAAUGCAUUAUGCAUAUUACUGUAUCCAGGUCUUAUUCUCAUCGACUAUGGACAUUUUCAAUAUAAUUCUGUGAGUCUGGGCUUUGCUUUGUGGGGUGUUCUUGGAGUAUCUUAUGACUGGGACCUGCUAGGGUCUCUGGCAUUUUGUUUAGCUAUAAAUUAUAAACAGAUGGAACUUUACCAUUCCUUGCCAUUUUUUUGCUUUUUACUUGGCAAGUGUUUAAAAAAAGGCCUCAAAGGAAAAGGGUUCAGGUUGUUAGUUAAGCUAGCUUGUACCGUUGUGGCUUCAUUCAUUCUCUGCUGGCUGCCAUUCUUUACAGAAAGGGAACAAGCCUUGCAGGUCCUACGAAGACUCUUCCCAGUUGAUCGUGGAUUAUUUGAGGAUAAAGUAGCCAAUAUUUGGUGCAGCUUCAGUGUUUUUCUGAAGAUUAAGGACAUUUUGCCACGACACACUCAGAUAAUAAUCAGCUUUUGUUUUACAUUUUUGAGCUUGCUUCCUGCAUGUAUAAAAUUAAUACUUCAUCCCUCUCCCAGAGGAUUCAGAUUUACUCUGGUUAGCUGUGCAUUAUCAUUCUUUUUAUUUUCUUUCCAAGUACAUGAAAAGUCCGUUCUCUUGGUAUCAUUACCAGUCUGCUUAGUUUUAAAUGAAAUUCCUUUUAUGUCUACUUGGUUUUUACUUGUGUCAACAUUUAGUAUGCUACCUCUUCUAUUAAAGGAUGAGCUCCUAAUGCCCUCCUUUGUGACAGUGAUGGCAUUUUUUAUAGCUUGUGCAACUUUCUUUCCAAUAUUUGAAAAGAUGUCUGAAGAAGAACUGCAGUUAAAAUAUUUUUCCAUUUCUAUAAGGAAAUAUCUUCCACGUUUUACAUUUCUUCCCAGAAUUAUACAACAUUUGCUGAUCAUCCAAUUUCAGUGAUCUUUUAACACUGCAAAGGAAAUAUUUAAAGAAGUCUUAGAUUUGACAUACAUAAAGAAGGCACAUAUUUAAAGGAACAUGCCAGGCUCUCUGUGUGCAAAAUCUGUUCUGUUAAACUGGAAGCCCAGCUGUUGGUGACAAUGCUUAGAAAGGAAAGCCGAAUAUUUAUAAUACUUUAUUUCGUACAGCUGUCUUCUAAAGAGCAAUCAUCAACAUUUUAUUGAAUGCAGACUAAAUGCUCAAAGGAGAAAAAGGUCAGUAUAAAUUAAACUAGCUUUCCCAGUGACAAAUGCAGCAUUAAAAGUACUUUCUUGAUCCCUGAGAAACAGAAAUUAAAUUAUUUGAACUAUUAGAGGUUUGGGAUAUUAUGCAAAAGAUUGUGUUGAAGUACAGAACCCCCCAAAUUUGUAUAGAUUCUAGAAGAUGACUAUUCAAAAAUAACUGGUGACUCAUAAACAUCAUAUAGGAAUAAGAAAAAAAAUGAAAGAGAUGGGUCAAUCUAUGAAAAUUAUUGAGCAGUAAAUAAUAAAUACAAAAAUAAAUAUCUAAAGGUUUACUUAAUUUUGCUAUUAUAUUUACAUAAUUCAAUCACAACAUUAUUUCUUGAGACUAAAUUAUUUUAAAUAAUUGUAUCUUUUAGAAGUCAAUUUAAAUUUGGUUUAGGGGCUGGGGAUAUAGCUCAGUGGUAAGAAACUUGUCUAGAAUGUGUAAGAUCCUGGGUUCAAUUCCUAGCACUGAAAAAAACAAACAAAAACAAUUUAACAAGUAUUCUCAAUGAAGUGAGAACACAAGUAUUAGUAAAUAAAAAUGGCAAAUCAUUUAAAAAAGUAUUUAGCUUUGGAAUAUAUAUAGACCUAUUUAGUACAUGAGGUGUUCUGUUUUUCAUAUUUCAAAAGUAUAAUCAAAAACUAAAAUUAUACAAUGCAGAAUUUUCUUAUUAUUUGUUUUUAAAUGAUGCUAAGAUGCAGCAUCUAAAAGAUGUCCUUUUAGAAAAGAACACAAAGCCUACCCUGAUACUGAUUGUUCAAAAUAUUAUCAUUUUAUAAUCAGUGGUUGAUUUUUAAAGAAAGCAACACAGUGCUUGAACUUAAAAAGAUUUCCAGAUUAGGUCUUAGUGGAUUUAGAAAGCCCAUGGAAAAAUAUAUAAAAGUAAUAAGAAAGUGAGCUGAGUUAAAAUAGGCUGUCAUCUCCCUCUUUAUGUUUGGUGAGAAAUCUAAAAACAUGAUUCAUUCAUUAAGGGUAAUGUACAAUUCAGAUAACUGGGGCAUUUAAUAACCCAAAGUUGGUAAUAUUUAUAAGUACCCUAAAAAGAUUUAAUAGGCAAAACUAGAAUAAAUUUAAGAAAUUGCUUAGUUUGUCUACAGGGAAAAGAAUUUGUGAAACCCAUCUACUGUCACAAUCUCAGUCCUGUGCAUAGUAAAUCUUUGUUGAAUUUUGGGGAGGGAAUUGAAAAACAGGUAAAGAAGGACAAAUCUACCAGAGGAAUUUAUGACCUUAUUCUUACCAUUCUAUUAGAAAUGAACCCUACUGAGAUAACAAUCAUUAAAAUAAGCACCUAUUAUACACAGGCACUCCUCUACCCAUGAACAAUUAUAAUAUAAGGAUGAGAUGAUGCUACAUGAAUUAGGAUGAUGUUAAUAAAAAUAUACGAGACAGAAAAAAUAUAAAGGAAGAAUAAGCAAAAAUUUGAUUAAAUAUGAGAGAAAUAUUUUUCUAAAAUAUGUAUUUCUUUCCUACCAUUAUUACUUAACAAUUACAAGUGAUAUAUUUCUGGUAGUCCUGUAAAGUUAUAUCUGGUUCCUGUGACUACUAUCUUGGUUUAAAAAAAUGGACACAAAAACAUGGGGAAAGGACUUGAAUUAUACCUUUCUCCAAAGAAGAUAUACACACUACACACACACACACAAGUGGCCAAAAAUCAACAUGAAAAAAUGCUCAACAUCCUUAAUCCUUAGGGAAAUAUAACCCAUGUUCACAAGGAGAUACCCCUUCAUGUCCAUUAGCAUGGCUAUUAUAAAAAAGAAAAUAUCAAAAGCUGUAAGGAUAUGGAGAAAUCAGAACCUUUGUACAUUGCUGACUGGAAUGUUAAAUGGUGCAGCAGCUAUAGAAAACAAUUGGCAGUUCCUCAAAUAAUUAAAAUUAGAAUUACCAUAUGAUCCAGUAAUUCCAUAUUCCAAAAGAAUUAAAAGCCAGAACUUGAGUAAAUAUUCAUAUAACAAUAUUCACAGAAGCAUUAUUGACAGUAGCCAAAAGGCAGAAGCAAUCUAAUGUCCUGUGACAGUUAAAUGGAUAAAUAAAAUGUAUCAUUCAUACACACACACACACACACACACACACACACACACACACAAUAGAAUAUAUUAUUAAGCCUUAAAAGUGAAAGGAAAUUUGGCACAUGCUACAACACAGAUAAACUUUGAAGACACAACUCUAACUAAAAUAAGCCAGUCAUAAAAGAAAAUAUACUGCUUGACUUUACUCAUAUAAGAAUAGUCAAAUUCAUAGAUACAGAAAACAGAAUGGUAGUUGCUAGGAGCCAGAGGAAGGGAGAAAUAGGAAAUUACUGUUAAUGGGUGUAGUUUCAAUUUUGUAAGAUGAAACAAGUUUUGAAGAUGGCUGGUGGUGAUGACUGCACAAAAAUAUAAAUAUACCUCCCUUUUAGGGGUAAUCGUACAUCAUCUGUAGGUAACUUCUCACUCCAAGCUACCCAAAUUUCCCUGUGCCCAUAAUUUAAAUAUUAUAUUCCAUCUUUAGGCACAUUAGGUUUAGACUGACUAAACCUACCAGAAUUAUUGUUGUUGGAAUUCUCAAAAGAUAAAAAAAAUUUUGCAUGCAAUUUUAUAUCAAGAGGAGAGACAGUAACUCUCUUUGUAGAGUUACCAUAAAUUAUUCACUAAGAAGAUCCUCCCCUUUUUAAUUUAGCUUACUACAUGGUAGUACCCUGAGUAAGAUUCUCUGAUUGAUCAGAAUAAAUUGAGUAGAAAAGCUUUAUGUUACUAACAUCAAUUUCAAUAUUAAAGAAAUUAUUCUAGGGGAAAAAAAGCUAUCAUUUGAUUCCUAACCAAGAACCAGAAAUGAACUCUUAGAAGCUCACAAAAUUAUAUGAUUUGAGGUUUUUUUUUUAAAUAGGAGUUUUAAAACAUUAGAUUAAACAUGAUUUUUGAGUGACAGAGCUGAGAGUAGGAAUAGGGGGUGAAGAAUAAACUUAGCAAAGCAGAUAAGACUCAGGGAGCUUUGAUGCUAUGCCAAAUUCUUCUGUAAGGUUGGGCAAAUCACAUAAUCUCACUAAGCUUCAUAAAGUUGAUAAUAAUACUGGCCUGUAAAGUAGUAAGAAAUUUCUGAGUGGAAGAUAAAAAUAUCGCUUAGUAUUUCAGUGCUUCCAUUUACUCCUCACUAUAAUGGACACAAUAAUGUUGCCAGCUACUAACUUCACAAGAGUAUUUAGAGGAUUAUUGAGUAUAAUCAUGAGAUGCUUAGAAAUCCUUUGAUGAAAGGCAAUGGCUAAAUUCACAUCCCAUGUGACUUCUUAAGUAUAAAUUGAGAUAUAUGAAAUGAUUUAUUUUCCAUUCCAAGUACGGGUAAAAAAGGGAGAAGAAUCUUCUAUAACCUUUCUGUUUCAUUCAAGUUUAUGCUCCUUUAUGUUCAAUAUUUCUAAUGAUCACAUAAAAAAUCUCUACCAUGGCAUAGGUGAGGGCAACACCAACCUAUUACAUGCAAAAGUAUGGGCACCAUGUGAAGUAUCUAAGUAAAUGAUUAAUCCUGUUAUUCUUCAUGACAAAAGUUGUCCUGGGCAACAUAUGUUUAUGAUGUCAAAAGAUUAAUGAAAAAAAAUGUUUACAGAAGUCAAAUGAAUACAUUUAGGAAUAUUAACACCAGAGGAUGAAAAAUGAGAUUUUUUUUUGGUUGAAUAAAAUGAGAAAUACAGUUAAGACCAUUUUACUCCUGAAUGGAUAUUCCUUAAUAUGCAAUAAAAUAUUCAUUAACAUUCCUUCUGCAAAAAGUUUACAUAUACUAUAGAUAAUUUGUACAUGUAGAUUAUAUGUACCUACAAAUGAAGAAAGGAUAUAAGUUUGCCCUUUAGAGGAGUUUCCAUUGAAAGGGCUCAACUAGGUCUAACAGAAUUAAAACAUGACAGAUGGGUGAUAUUUUAUGUACUUUUCUGUAUGAAUUUUUAUUCUACAACAUAAAAAUAAUCAUAAAAAACUACUGCUAAUGUCUACCCUAUUUCUGAGACUUCAACACAAUCAUCUUAAGAAGUUUUAUCUGGUGCUGUCUAGUUUGCAGUCAAUAGCAGCUGUUCAUGACCCUUUUACUAAACUUAUGUUAAAAUAAUCUAUGUGUUUUUCCUAGCUAGACUAAAUUAUUUACAUUAUUAAUACCUCGUCAGUUAAAUGAUGGGUUAUGAGUUCUAAAAAUGCUUAUUGAACUAUCUUUUCCAUUAAAAUUAAUACUAGGUAGUACAGUAUUUGUUCAUGUUUGGAACCCCAAAGUGCAACGGAACAAAGGUAUCAUAUAAAUUAAUCAUUUAAAUAAUUGCUUUUAUUUUUAUCUAAAACUUAGUCUCAAAGAAACAAAUAUUUAGCUUUUGCAAAUUUUUAUGUGCUUAACAUAAAUAAUUCUAAUCCAUAAUUUCCUCAAAUAUUCCCUCUCCUCCAUUAUGCUUUUCUAAGUCUUAAAUUACUAAAGAGAAAAUUAUUUUUAGCCUUUAUGUUUGAUAUCUCUAGCCUCCUUUUUCAUAUUAUUGUUCUUUAUGCAUUUUGGACAAUUUCUUUAGAUUUAUCUUCCAGUUCUCUAAUUCCUUCUUCAGUUGUGUCUAACCUAC